rnacentral:rRNA from 1 species
AUGGAAGGAGAUCUGCGUGGUCGAUCGGCGGAGGCGAGAGAGAAACGUCGGGAUGCAGCCAGUUCGGCCGCCAUCAUCAUCAUCUUCUUGUUGGUCGCGUUGACGCACCUGCUCGUGCUCUCCUCCCACUUCGGCGCCACCGACCCUCUGAUCUGGUGGCAGCAAAGGGCGUACGCAGCAGAUGGCGGGCCUGGCGGCAACGCGGUGGCGCCCGACCGGCUCCUCUCCCCGGACUUGGAAGACAACAAUCCGGCAGCGUGCCUCAGCCGGCACGAGGCCUCCAGGCGCUGGAAGCCCACGCGAUUCCCUAUGCCCCCCUACCUGGUGGAGAGGCUAAGGUGGUACGAGGCCAACCACCGUCGGUGCGGCCCGCGCACGGCGCUCUACCGCGACGCCGUUUCGAGGCUCCGGUCUGCCGCCCGCAACGCAGACCACGCCGCCGCCGGCGAUCAUCAUCAUACAUGCAAGUACGUGGUCUGGAUCCCAACCGAGGGCCUCGGCAACCGGAUGCUCAGCCUCGUCUCCACCUUCCUAUACGCGCUCCUCACCGACCGCAUCCUACUCGUCCAUGAGCCCCCGGAGAUGGAGGGCCUCUUCUGUGAGCCCUUCCCCGGGACCACGUGGCUGCUCCCGCCGGCCGAUUUCCCCCACAAGCUCGACGCCGCCACCUUCUCCUCCCGCUCCAAGGAGAGCUACAUCAACAUGCUCCAUAACAACAUCAUCCGCUACGGCUACGGCGACGACGCUCGCGCGCAGGUGUUGCCGGCUUACGUCUACCUCCACCUGGAGACCGUGUUUCUUCUCACCGCGAGCGUCAAGCUCCGGCUCCAGAACCACACGUUCUGCGACGAGGACCACCAUUUGAUCAACAAGUUCGACUGGAUGGUGGUCAAGUCCGACAACUACUUUGCGGUGGCACUGUUCAUGAUGCCCAUGUACCGCCGCGAGCUUGACCGGAUGUUCCGAGCGAAAGGGGCGGUGUUCCACCAUCUUGGCAGGUACCUCCUCCGCCCGGGGAACCGGGUGUGGGGGAUGGUGGACAGGUUCUUUGAGGGGUACCUCGCCGGUGCCGACGAGCGUCUCGGCAUGCAUGUGCGUAACAAGCAGAUCUUCCCGGUGCCGCCCGAGAUCAUGUUUGAACAGAUCCUCCGGUGCGCGCGGGAGCAUCAUCUUUUGCCGCAGGUACUAGCCACCAGCGAACCACCGACGGCGGAGGCGAAGAAGAAGAAGAAGAACAAGGCCGUCGCAGUCCUGAUGCUUUCCCUGAAGCCUGAGUACCAUGACAAGCUGCAUGCCAUGUACUACACCAACGCCACGGUGGCCGGCGACGUGGUGGUGUCGGUGCACCAGCCGAGCCACGACGGGGAGCAGCAGUCGGACGCGCGGGCACACAACGAGCGUGCCCUGGCGGAGAUCUACCUGCUGAGCUUCUGCGACAGGAUGGUGACGACGGGGUGGUCCACGUUCGGGUACGUCGCGCAGGCGCUGGCUGGGAUUCGGCCGUGGAUGCUGUUGCCGGUGAACCGGAGCAAGAUGAGGGCCGACGUGGCGUGCGUGAGGCCGCCGUCUGUGGAGCCCUGCACGCAUCCGCAACCGUUAUUGCUCACGUGCCAGUAG